rnacentral:tRNA from 1 species
UCCUUGGAGGACUAGUGGUUAGGCAUCGGUGCUCUCACCGCCAUGGCCAGGGUUCGAUUCCUGGCCAGGGAA